rnacentral:rRNA from 1 species
GGGAUGGUAGGAUCAAGGCCUACCAUGGUGAUCACGGGUACGGGGAAUCAGGGCUCGGUUCCGGAGAGGGAGCCUGAGAAACGGCUACCACUUCCAAGGAAGGCAGCAGGCGCGUAAAUUACUCCCUGCUCGGAAGGAGCGAGGUAGUGACGACAAAUACCAAUGACCAGCAAACGUUGGCAAUUGGAAUGAGCUAAAGAUAAAGCUCUUAGCAAGUAACAAUUGGAGGGCAAGUCUGGUGCCAGCAGCCGCGGUAAUUCCAGCUCCAAGAGUGUAUACUAAAGCUGUUGCGGUUAAAACGCUCGUAGUUGAAUACCAACAUCUGGGAAGAGCUGGCCAAGAGAGAGUGGCAGGAUGAAAGUCCAGCCGCUUGAAAAUGGGCAGUCCGGAGAAGAGACAAGAGAAGAAACCAAAGGUUCGCCACUGCACUUUGCUGUGCGGGGGAAAAGCGAAGAGCACUCCAACCGAAGAGGGCGGAGGAACCAGCGGAAGAAAAAAUUACCUUGAACAAACUAGAGUGUUCCAAGCAGGCGAGAAACGCAGUGAAUAGGAAUAGCAUGGGAUAAGGAAGAGAAGGGGGCCAAGGAGGGCAAUGAGGGGAGAGAAAAGCCGAAAAGCCAACCGGCCAGACCGCGACCGGAACAGCCACACAUGACCCAGAGGGUUCGUCUGGACUUCCCAGGGGGGCAAAGAGCAGGUUUUUUGAGUUUUGGAAGGGAGCUGUGGGGAGACUUGCAGAGCUCGGAAGAAGCCAAAGAGCAGGCAGCCAAGUGAGUGGAGGCGAGGUAAGGAGAAGGGGGUUUGAGGCGAUCAAGAUUUCUCUUUUUACAAGUUGCACAACCGGUCUUCAGAGAAAACAGAAAGAAUAGGAACAAACGGGGUGGUUCAUACUUCUUUGUCAGGGGUGAAAUCCAAUGAUUAAAGAAAGAUGAACAAGAGCGAAAGCAUUCCACAAGAAUGAAUUCAUUGAUCAAGAACGAAAGUUGGGGGAUCGAAGACGAUUAGAUACCGUCGUAGUCUCAACCAUAAACGAUGCCGACAAGAGAUUGGGAGAAGGCUUUCCGAAAGGAAGCAAGGCGCCCCCAGGGACGAAAGGAAACUGGAAGUGUAUGGGCUUCGGGGGGAGUAUAGUCGCAAGGCAGAAACUUAAAGGAAUUGACGGAAGGGCACCACCAGGAGUGGAGCCUGCGGCUUAAUUUGACCCAACACGGGAAAGCUCACCAGGUCCGGACAGAGGAAGGAAUGACAGAUUGAGAGCUCUUUCAUGAUUCGCUGGGUGGUGGUGCAUGGCCGUUCUUAGUUCGUGGUGUAAAUUGUCUGUGUCAAUUCCGCUAACGAACGAGACCUUAACCAGCUAAAUAAUGUUGAGGCAGAGAGAACUGGGAGGAAGCAGGGAGACUUGUGGAAUUUCAGGGACUCUAGUAGAAAAUGCA